ACGGGCGAGUAACACGUGCAUAACCUGCCCUGGAGUGUGGGACUACAUCGGAAACGGUGCUAAUCCCGCAUACGAUCUGGAGGAUGAGAAGAUCUAGAUGAAAGAUUUAUCGCUCUAGGAGGGGUGCGCGGACUACCAGUUAGUUGGUGAGGUAAGAGCUCACCAAGACUAAGACGGAUAGCCGGCCUGAGAGGGUGAACGGCCGCAAUGGGACUGAGAACGGCCCAUACCCCUACGGGGGGCAGCAGUGGGGAAUAUUGGACAAUGGGGGCAACCCUGAUCCAGCGACUCCGCGCGAAGGAAGAAGCCUUACGGGGUGUAAACUUCUUUUUUGGGGGAAGACGAAUGACGGUACCCCAAGAAUAAGAGACGGCUAACUACGUGCCAGCAGCCGCGGUAAUACGUAGGUCUCGAGCGUUAUCCGGAUUUACUGGGCGUAAAGGGUCCGUAGCCUGUAUAAUAAGUCUGCUUUUAAAAACCUGGGCUCAACCUAGGGGAGGGGGUAGAUACUGUUAUGCUAGAGAUAGGAGGGGGUCAGUAGAAUUUCCGGUGGAGGGGUGGAAUCCGUUGA
rnacentral:rRNA from 1 species